rnacentral:rRNA from 1 species
GACGAACGCUGGCGGCGUGCCUAAUACAUGCAAGUAGAACGCUGAAGGAGGAGCUUGCUUCUCCGGAUGAGUUGCGAACGGGUGAGUAACGCGUAGGUAACCUGCCUGGUAGCGGGGGAUAACUAUUGGAAACGAUAGCUAAUACCGCAUAAGAGUAGAUGUUGCAUGACAUUUGCUUAAAAGGUGCAAUUGCAUCACUACCAGAUGGACCUGCGUUGUAUUAGCUAGUUGGUGGGGUAACGGCUCACCAAGGCGACGAUACAUAGCCGACCUGAGAGGGUGAUCGGCCACACUGGGACUGAGACACGGCCCAGACUACUACGGGAGGCAGCAGUAGGGAAUCUUCGGCAAUGGACGGAAGUCUGACCGAGCAACGCCGCGUGAGUGAAGAAGGUUUUCGGAUCGUAAAGCUCUGUUGUAAGAGAAGAACGAGUGUGAGAGUGGAAAGUUCACACUGUGACGGUAUCUUACCAGAAAGGGACGGCUAACUACGUGCCAGCAGCCGCGGUAAUACGUAGGUCCCGAGCGUUGUCCGGAUUUAUUGGGCGUAAAGCGAGCGCAGGCGGUUAGAUAAGUCUGAAGUUAAAGGCUGUGGCUUAACCAUAGUACGCUUUGGAAACUGUUUAACUUGAGUGCAAGAGGGGAGAGUGGAAUUCCAUGUGUAGCGGUGAAAUGCGUAGAUAUAUGGAGGAACACCGGUGGCGAAAGCGGCUCUCUGGCUUGUAACUGACGCUGAGGCUCGAAAGCGUGGGGAGCAAACAGG